rnacentral:rRNA from 1 species
UACGUAGGGGGCUAGCGUUGUCCGGAAUCAUUGGGCGUAAAGAGCGCGUAGGCGGCUAGAUAAGUCCGGUGUGAAAGUCACAGGCUCAACCUGUGAAUGCCGCUGGAAACUGUCUGGCUAGAGUCCGGAAGGGGCGAGUGGAAUUCCUGGUGUAGCGGUGAAAUGCGCAGAUAUCAGGAAGAACACCCGUGGCGAAGGCGGCUCUCUGGGACGGUACUGACGCUGAGACGCGAAAGCGUGAGGAGCGAACAGG